AAUAAUAUUAAUCUGGGGGGGUUAAUAAUUAUUUAAUUUAAAACUGUAGAGGUUAAAUUUCUAAUCUAGUAAACAAUCUAUUAUUGUACCUUUUGUAUCAGGGUUUAUUUAAUUAAUUUUGGUAUUGAGAAUUCUCGAAAAGGAAAGAUUUAAUUUUAUGUUUUCGUUACUGUAUAAUCACUAAGAUGAAUGUAAGAUUAGUUGUGAAAUGCAAUUCAAACUUCUAUAUCUAGUUACUUUUUUUUUGAUUUAAUCAAUUUAAUUUAAGAAUUUUUUUUAUAUUUAACACUUAUGCGGGGAUAAGCUUGUUUAUUAUAUAAAAGAAAUCUGUAUUUAUUUUAAAAUUUAAAUUUAAAAAUGAUUUUUUGUUUAUAAUAAUUAAUUAAUAUAUUUUAAUUUUUUUUAAAAACUUUAGGUAGGGGUAAAGUUUUUUAUUAUAAUUUAACAUAUAGAUUAAAAAUUAUAUAAUUAGUAGAAAAUACAAAUAGUAAUUAUGAAUUCGGCAAUUUUAAAUUUUCGACUGUUUACCAAAAACAUUUCUGUAAGUUAAAUAUUUUUAGUAUAACCUGCUCUAUGCUCUAAAGUCAAUAGCUGCAGUAUUUUGACUGUACAAAGGUAGCAUAAUCAUUAGUCUUUUAAUUGGAGGCUCGUAUGAAUGGUUGAACGGGAAAUAAACUUUAUUAUUAUUAUGAUCAUUGAAUUUUAUUUUAAAGUAAAAAAUCUUUAAUGUAUGAAAGGGACGAGAAGACCCUAUAGAAUUUAAUGUUUAUAAUGUGAAAUAAGUAUUUUGUUGGGGUGACAGAAAAUUAAACAUUUUCUUAUUAUUCAAUUAUUAUUGAUUUAUUGAUCCUUAAAUUUUGACAUUAAGAUAAAAUUACCUUAGGGAUAACAGCAUAAUUCUUUUUUUAAGUUCAUAUUUAUAAAGGAGAUUAUGACCUCGAUGUUGAAUUAAAAUUAUAUUUAGGUGUAGUCAUUUAAAUAUUCAGUCUGUUCGACUUUAAUUUUUACGUGAUUUGAGUUCAAACCGGCGUAAGCCAGGUUGGUUUCUAUCUUUUUAUAAAAGAAUUAGUUUAGUACGAAAGGAUUAACUAGGGUAAAUAUAUUUUAGUAUUUUAGAUUAAUUUAACUAUUCG
rnacentral:rRNA from 1 species